GCAAGACCCAGCCGUCCCGGCUCCUCCAGAUGCGCUCUGACAGGGAGGCCGACAUUCAGCUGGUGCUCUCCUCCAAACGCACCGAUGAUGCAUGGCUACUGCUGCUAACCUGCCCCCUGCCACGUACGCAGCACGCUGGUUCACAUAUACAAUACAUUUCAGUUGAUUUUAGGGAGAACACCAAUCAAAGCAGUUGUUGAGGAUCCGGAUGGACAUACUGUCAAUAUUGAGACAUGAAAGGGAGACCUCGUGCAUGGUGAUGAGAGUAUACUUUGUAGAUAAUAUAGUCGGGAAAUGCAAGCCUCAGUCUUGUACUUGUCGCUGCAAUAGUCUGAAACAGAAUGAACCGAUGAAGCAGCUGGAGGAGCGGAUGGUUCAGACAGAUUGGAGGCUUCACGUAGAGCUUGCUGGACCGCGUUGUGCGUGUGGCCGAGUGAGUCGGUGCGGCUGCUGGUCGCCGGUGAGGUGGUGCUGGUCACCACGACGCGACGCUGACGACCCAAACUAUGGUCAUCACAAGCAGGAGGAGAUGUCGGACGGGUCCUUCCGGUGCAGCGCCUCGGCUCUGUUAUCGUGGUCUCCUCUGACCAUCUGGUGAUAUCUCCCUUUCCCCAACCCUUUGGCCUUACCUGGAGUCUGCCCUAUUGUAGAAAAAAUUCUAUCUUGGGCAGCUUGUACUAAUCACGAUUGGAUGAUUUACUACAUGUUUGUUUUAGUGUAAUUUGACUUGCUUAAGGUUGAUCAGUAGUACUUCUUUAACUUCUUCUGGCACGGUCAAGAAAUUUCAAAACUGGGCAAUGUUCUCAUGUCUAGAUCCACUUUGGCUGAUCUGCUGUGGGAUCUAGUGAUAGAAAUCUGCGAUUUCUUAUCUAUUUGGUGCUAGCCCAUAGUCAUUUGACAAUGAAUUUUC